rnacentral:rRNA from 1 species
GAUGAACGCUAGCGGAAGGCUUAAUACAUGCAAGUCGAGCGGUAGGUGGCUUCGGCCAUUGAGAGCGGCGCACGGGUGAGUAACGCGUACAUGACCUGCCUGUCAGAAGGGGAUAGCCCUGGGAAACUGGGAUUAAUACCCUAUGGUAUUGAUAUUAUGAAUGAUAUCAAUUAAAGUUGAGGCGCUGACAGAUGGAUGUGCGUCUGAUUAGCUAGUUGGUAGGGUAACGGCCUACCAAGGCGACGAUCAGUAGGGGGCGUGAGAGCGUGGUCCCCCACACGGGUACUGAGACACGGACCCGACUCCUACGGGAGGCAGCAGUAAGGAAUAUUGGUCAAUGCCCGCAAGGGUGAACCAGCCAUUCCGCGUGGAGGAUGAAGGCCCUAUGGGUUGUAAACUUCUUUUAGAUGGGAAGAAAAUGCUAGAUGUAUCUGGUACUGACGGUACCAUCAGAAUAAGCAACCGGCUAACUCCGUGCCAGCAGCCGCGGUAA